GCGAGUAGUCGCUGUAACGAGUAGUGCGCGUACGCGGCGAGGACGCACGACAUGGCGUCUUGACUUUUACCCUAGUCGGUCUCAGGGCAAAAUUUACGCCGACCUCGUCUACGACCUCCAAUUCCGAAGAAGAUCUCGACAUGAUCCCUUCAGAUAUUAAACCGUGGAUGCAGGCGGGGGUGGCAGGCGGGGGUGGCCCCGGCCACGUGGGCCCGGGGGGUGGAACAGGUGACGACGAGGCGCCGAAGGACCCUGGAGUCAGGAUCACCCACCAGUCCUAUACCGAGAAGGACUUCGAGGGUCACAGGGCACACACCGUUUACGUCGGCGUCCAUCUUCCCGGAGAGCGUAGACACCGACGUCACCACAAGCACCACCACUCAAGGCAGGCCGGAAUCAAUGGCAAGGAAGAAAAUGACACCGAGAGACCCAUCACCCCACCGGCCCAGAGGGUGCAGUUCAUCCUCGGGGAGGAGGUCGGGGACGACGCCCACGAGUCGCAUCCGCUCUUCUCCGAGAUGGAGGAACUCGUCAGGGACGGAGACGAGAUGGAAUGGAAGGAAACCGCCAGAUGGAUCAAAUUCGAGGAGGACGUCGAAGAGGGCGGAAACAGGUGGAGCAAACCUCAUGUAGCGACGCUCUCCUUGCAUUCCCUUUUCGAGUUAAGGAGUCUCCUGCUGAAUGGCACCGUCAUGUUGGACAUGGAGGCCAGCAGUCUGGAACAAGUCGCGGAUCUUGUCCUGGACAACAUGAUCAACAAGGCUGUCUUGCCGCUGGACGCGAGGGAGAAGGUGAAGGAGGCCCUUCUGGUGAGACAUCGACACCAACACGAGAGGCGCAAGGAGAACAACAUGUCCAGGCUUCCGAUCAUCAGGUCUCUCGCGGAGAUCGGCAGAAAUCACUCGUCCUCCAAGAAUUCUGACUGUACCUGUGGUAUGCAAGGGUUGUUCACGUCAGAUUUGCAGGAGCGUCGCGACGCCGGGCAGGCGUAUGCCCCUGCAGGGGCGACGGUGGCUCGCAGCACGAGCUGCCCCAACCCGAACACGGCUCUACUCUCGAAAGAGGCGAAAGACCUCAAAGGACCUUACCUUCUGGUUCCAGGCCAAGAGCCAGGGACGAACGGGAUGGAUCGGAGUCCCAGCAGCGUCUCCAUCAGCAGGAAUCACAGCUCUUCCGGCCUGGAAAAUGGCGACGCCAAUCACAAGGGUAAUACGCACUUCAUGCGAAAGAUCCCUCAGGGGGCAGAGGCCAGCAACAUCCUCGUCGGCGAGGUCGACUUCCUGGACAAGCCUUUGUCUGCCUUUAUUCGCCUGAGCCAGGCUUGCAUAAUGGGCGACUUGACGGAAGUUCCGGUUCCUACGAGAUUCCUCUUCGUCCUUCUGGGGCCAAGGGGCGGAAUCGCGGGCUUCCACGAGAUCGGCAGGGCAAUGGCGACCCUGAUGUCGGACGAGGUCUUCCAUGACGUCGCUUAUAAAGCGAAGAACAGGAACCAUCUUUUAGCGGGCGUUGACGAAUUCUUGGACGCCGUCACUGUUUUACCUCCAGGGGAAUGGGACCCUACCAUCAGGAUAGAACCCCCGGCUGCAAUCCCGUCUCAGGACACCAGGAAAAGGCCGAAGGAGGAGAAACCUAAGGAGGACGUGGACGAGGAAGCCGACGAGCAGAAGCAGAGAGAGGAGUCCGGUCUCUCCAGGACUGGAAGACUCUUCGGGGGUCUUGUCAACGAUAUCAAGAGGAAGGCGCCAUUUUAUUGGUCCGAUUUCAAGGACGCCCUCGCCCUGCAAUGCGUGGCCUCCUUUAUUUUCUUGUACUUCGCCUGCCUUUCGCCGAUCAUCACCUUUGGGGGUCUCCUCAGCGAGGCUACGGGGAAGAACAUGGCCGCCAUGGAGUCCCUCGUCUCGGGAUUCGUCUGUGGGAUCGGUUAUGGAUUUUUCUCCGGACAGCCAUUGACCAUCCUCGGGUCCACGGGGCCCGUUUUGGUCUUCGAGACGAUCGUCUUCGAGUUCUGCAAGCAGUCGAACUGGAAUUACAUGUCCUUUCGGUUCUGGAUCGGUACUUGGAUCGCCGUCAUCCUGCUCAUCCUCGUGGCCAUUGACGCGAGUGCUUUGGUCUGCUACAUCACGAGAUUCACCGAGGAGAACUUCGCCACCCUCAUCGCGUUCAUCUUCAUCUACAAGGCGGUGGAGAACGUCCUAUCAAUUGGGAAGAAGUUCCCCUUGAACAUGCACACGGCAGAAUUCGAUGGUUUAGAUUGUUGGUGCCGACCUCCGAACUAUUCCCUCCCUGCGAGCUACGAUCGCGUCAAUUGGACCGCGAUGGAUCGGACAGUUUGUCAGAGUUACAAUGGCACUAUGGAGGGCGAUGGCUGCGAAGUUCCUCAGUACGUCCCCGACGUGUUCCUCAUGUCCAUCAUCUUGUUCAUGGGCACCUUCCUGUUAUCCAUAGAAUUAAAGGACUUCAAGAACGCCCUCUUCUUCCCCUCGAAGGUUAGGCAGAUCGUCAGCGAUUUCGCGGUGAUAAUCGCCAUCCUCUCCAUGUCGAGUCUGGAUUAUUUCGUGGGGAUUCGCACCCCGAAAUUGGAGGUCCCUAGGGAGUUCAAGCCGACCCUGGAAGACCGAGGAUGGAUGAUAUGGCCCUUCCAACAUAAUCCAUGGUGGAGUGCCAUCGUCGCCUCUUUGCCCGCUCUCCUGGGCACCAUCCUCAUCUUCAUGGACCAGCAGAUCACCGCGGUCAUUGUCAACCGCAAGGAGAACAAGCUGAAGAAGGGGUGCGGCUAUCAUCUGGACCUCUUUGUUCUGGCGGUCCUGAUCGAGAUCUGCUCCGUGAUGGGUCUUCCUUGGUUCGUCGCUGCCACUGUCCUGUCGAUUAAUCACGUGAAUUCCCUGAAACUCGAGUCGGAGUGUGCCGCUCCAGGAGAGAAACCCCAGUUUUUAGGGGUUCGCGAACAGAGGGCGACGCACAUCCUGAUCUUCCUCAUGAUCGGGUGCUCGGUCUUCCUGACCCCGAUGUUGAGCCACAUCCCGAUGCCGGUGCUCUUCGGGGUCUUCUUGUACAUGGGCGUCGCGUCCUUGAAAGGCCUUCAAUUCUUCGACAGGAUCCUCAUCAUGCUGAUGCCGGUCAAGUACCAGCCGGACUACAUGUUCCUUCGACAGGUUCCUCUGAAGCGAGUGCACAUGUUCACCAUGAUCCAGCUCACCUGCCUCGCCUGCCUCUGGAUCAUAAAAUCUUUCAGCACGACCUCCAUUCUUUUCCCACUCAUGCUGGUCGUGAUGAUCGGCAUUAGGAAGUCCCUAGACUUCGUCUUCACCCAGAGGGAGCUGAAGAUCCUCGACGACGUGAUGCCGGAGCCUUCUAAAAAACACGCCGACGACCUGCGACAAUUGGAAAGCGGCGAGGACCAGAGCGAGCCCCUCGGCUUCGGGGCCUCGGGGAACCUGCAGAUCCCCCUAGCCAAUGGGAACAUCAUGAAGAUCCCUCUGACCAGCAUCAACAUCACCGAGGAGGUCAACAAGACCGGAAUCUGGCAGCAGGUGAACGAGGGCAACGCCAAUGAGAAGUGCAAGCCUCCGAAGAUGAUCAACGUGGGGAAGCAGAAGAAGCACUCGAAGAACGAUGGCGCUCUUUUGGCUGACGAGACCACCAGGCUCACCACCAUGACGGAGGAGGAAGAGGAGGACUGUGGGAUCUCUAUCAAGGUGACGAGCGUAAAUGACUCUAAAUUCUAACCACGACCACCACCGACACCACCAAACAAUGCAAGCGACACACGCGCAAUGGCGACCGCACCAAAAACACCGGCAUGCGACACUUCCCAAUGCACCGGGGCUGUCGAUCUGAUUCGUUCCAAGGAUUCGACCAGCCCCCUCAAGGCCAACGGCACUACUUCCGCCGAGACGUCCGUUUAAACUGCAGGAUGCAUCCGGGAUGCAUCCUGCGGGAAUUAAGGAUAUCCUCGACAGAGGCGCACUGAUCUACGAGGAGGAAUAUGCGUUUAGGAAUAAGGUGAUAGCGAAGUUAAAUUUCCGCCAGGACGCGCGUCUCGUCCGUGAGGUAUCCCUGGUGCAUCCUGCGGAUCCUUUAUGUGCAUUUCCACAUCCUCGAAGUCAUAAUCGGUUACGGUCAUAAAUCCGUCGACCAAAAUUCUUUUACUUGUGCCAGGAUGUCCUUCGAAUACCUCACGUCGGCCGAUAUGCAGAUGCAGGUGCAUUCCGAGAUGCACGGGAACGCUUUGCCUUCGUAGCGGACAUUGAGAUUUUUCUACCAGCGGCGCUUUUUGCGUUUUCUACGGGACUUUCUAACGCAUCGCCUUGGACCUUGACGACCGCGAAAAAUGUCCUACCAAGGAUAGUCUUAAAUUUAUUUUUCGAGCCAUCUCGAGAGGUAUUUUUUUGGAUAGAGACGAGGACGAGCCGGAAGGGAAAGGUUUGACGUACUUCAAUUUUUCGAUGUUUCGGCUGAAAAAAAAUUUAAUUUUUAUUAGUAAGGCCCUAAAUUGUUAUAAAUUGCAAUGUUUUUGCUCGAGGUGGAAUGUCUGGAUUUUUCGGACCUCGUCUCUCGUUGCUCUCAAGGCGCAGGGAUGGUGAAUGAAAAUGAAUUCUGCUGCGGUUUUGUUGCAAGUGCGUUUGUAAGUGCACUUGGAGGUGCAAUACAUGUCCGAGGGUGGGAGUAAUUUAAGGGUGGGUGCAUAACGUGCGCGAUGGCUUGAUAAAUCCUCGUUUGAAAGGACCUUAAGGCGGUCCUGUACCGGUGUGCGUAAUUCUUGUGGAUGUACCUUGUCCGAAUAGCAAAAUGGCGUUCGUAGGGUCUCAGUAUUUUUGGAAACGUAGACAAGGGAACGUAUUUAUGCCCGCGGAUGCCCGUGCAUGUAUACGCACGAGGCUCCCUUCUUAAGGCUUGAGGUUAUGUUUUAUGACUUUUUAAAGGGUCUUCGUUGCGAUAUCGUUUUCGAGUGUCGGCGGAUCUCUCGCGAGCUUUUUUUCAUAAAUGGCUUGAAGAUUCGAUUUUUUAAGGGGGCACGUAAGAACCCUUGGGAGAGGAUUAAGGGGAUGUCACGUCGAAAAAGAUGGCCGAGAUCGGUUUGCCUCGUCGACGUAGUAUUAUUCGGUUGUGAUUAGUUAGUCAAAUAAGUUCUGCUGCCACGAGGUCCGGCUGGGUCUCGAAAACUGAUCAGAUCGUCCUUUGUCAUCCGGAUGAUCCUUCAGAAUUUUUCCCCAAUUUUCGGGAUUUUCCUUGCGAUUGUCAAGCCGGACUUUGCACUUGGUUAAGCUCCAUCUUUGGAACCGAAGAUUUUCCGUUGCUAAAUUUCCUUCUUGUCAUAGUUAUUCCCUCACAACUGUAGAGAACUAUAACCCGGCAUUCGUGAAGCUGUACUCCGAUUGUGUAAAUAAGUAACUGCGUGUUAGAGACUAGUAUAACUAUGUUACUAAUAAACGAUUUAUUAAUGC